rnacentral:rRNA from 1 species
AACGCGAAGAACCUUACCCAGGCUCGAAAUGCAGAUGGCGAUACCAGAAAUGGUAUUUUCCGUAAGGACGUUUGUAUAGGUGCUGCAUGGCUGUCGUCAGCUCGUGCCGUGAGGUGUUGGGUUAAGUCCCGCAACGAGCGCAACCCUUAUCAUUAGUUGCCAACACAUUGGUGGGGACUCUAAUGAGACUGCCUAGGUUAACUAGGAGGAAGGUGAGGAUGACGUCAAGUCCGCAUGGCCUUUAUGUCUGGGGCUACACACGUGCUACAAUGGUCGGUACAGAAGGCAGCAAGACCGCAAGGUGGAGCAAAUCCGAAAAACCGAUCUCAGUUCAGAUUGUAGUCUGCAACUCGACUACAUGAAGCCGGAAUUGCUAGUAAUGACGUGUCAGCAACAGCGUCGUGAAUACGUUCCCGGGCCUUGUA